GCUUACGGCCAUACCAACCUGGCGAUGCCCGAUCUCGUCUGAUCUCGGAAGCUAAGCAGGUUUGGGCCUGGUUAGUACUUUGAUGGGAGACCGCCUGGGAAUGCCAGGUGCUGUAAGCU
rnacentral:rRNA from 1 species